UGGGGAAUCUUGCGCAAUGCGCGAAAGCGUGACGCAGCAACGCCGCGUGGGGGAAGAAGGCCUUCGGGUUGUAAACCCCUUUCAGUUGGGACGAAGGUCCGCCGGUGAAUAGCCGGCUGGACUGACGGUACCUUCACAAGAAGCCCCGGCUAACUACGUGCCAGCAGCCGCGGUAAUACGUAGGGGGCAAGCGUUGUCCGGAAUCAUUGGGCGUAAAGCGCGUGUAGGCGGCUCGAUAAGUCUGCUGUGAAAGUCCAGGGCUCAACCCUGGGAUGCCGGUGGAUACUGUCGAGCUCGAGUCCGGAAGAGGCGAGUGGAAUUCCUGGUGUAGCGGUGAAAUGCGCAGAUAUCAGGAGGAACACCAAUGGCGAAGGCAGCUCGCUGGGACGUGACUGACGCUGAGACGCGAAAGCGUGGGGAGCAAACAGG
rnacentral:rRNA from 1 species